UGUAUUGCUUUGCAACAACAAAAAUUAAAAAAUACCAAUUGUUUGCAUAAAUUUGUCUUAAAUAAGAAGAGUGCCAUAGCGCUCCUUAGCAGUCAAACGGUUAAUAUAGAUCACAGAAAAC